GCGGCGAUGAUGAGAUUAAAGAAUGUGUUUGGGCAGUGGGGAAGUAUCUCAGUAGAGUACUCCGCCGUGAGCCUAUCACUGAUAAACGACUUCUCCUUCCACUGAGCUCA